rnacentral:misc_RNA from 1 species
UUUCCGUAGGUGAACCUGCGGAAGGAUCAUUAAUGAGUUGUCAUGGGGUUCGAUGCUGGCAGCCAAUUUUUGGAUGCAUGUGCUUGCCCUAACAAUCAUCUUCCAAACACCUGUGCACAUUUUUGAGGGAGUCUUGAGUUGGUUGCCGCUCUUGGGUGAUUUUCUCACAUUCCCUUAAAUCAUUAUACGCUAUUAACAAUGUUGAACGUGCUCUGUGCCGCAAGGCUAUUAAUAUAAUACAACUUUUAACAACGGAUCUCUUGGCUCUCGCAUCGAUGAAGAACGCGGC